rnacentral:rRNA from 18 species
UUAAAUUGAAGAGUUUGAUCAUGGCUCAGAUUGAACGCUGGCGGCAGGCCUAACACAUGCAAGUCGAACGGUAACAGGAAGCAGCUUGCUGCUUCGCU